AUCGUGUAUGAGUCUGUUGGAAUACAGCGUCAYAGAGGGUGAGAACCCCGUUCGUGACACGACUACCAGUGCUUUGUGAUACAUUUUCGAUGAGUCGAGUUGUUUGGGAAUGCAGCUCAAAUUGGGUGGUAAAUUCCAUCUAAAGCUAAAUAUUGGCGAGAGACCGAUAGCAAACAAGUACCGUGAGGGAAAGAUGAAAAGCACUUUGGAAAGAGAGUUAACAGUACGUGAAAUUGUUGAAAGGGAAACGCUUGAAGUCAGACGUGCGCAGUGCGAUUCAGCUCUGGUUCGCCAGGGUGUAUUUCGUACUAUUGCAGGCCAGCAUCGGUUUUGCGAGCCGGAUAAAGGUAGAGGGGAGGUAGCGGCUCCGGCCGUGUUAUAGCCCUUUACUGAAUACGGAUUGCGAGACCGAGGGACGCAGCGCGCCGCAAGGCAAAAGCUUCGGCUUUUACGCGCUUAGGAUGCUGGUGAAAUGGCUUUAAGCGACCCGUCUUGAAACACGGACCAAGGAGUCUAACAUGCUUGCGAGUGUUUGGGUGUCAAACCCAUACGCGUAAUGAAAGUGAAUGGAGGUGGGAUCCUCUACCGGAGCACCAUCGACCGAUCCGGAUUUUUAAUGAAGGGUUUGAGUAAGAGCACGUAUGUUGGGACCCGAAAGAUGGUGAACUAUGCCUGAAUAGGGUGAAGCCAGAGGAAACUCUGGUGGAGGCUCGUAGCGGUUCUGACGUGCAAAUCGAUCGUCAAAUUUGGGUAUAGGGGCGAAAGACUAAUCGAAC
rnacentral:rRNA from 1 species